CCUAUCAUAUUUAUAUAUUUUAAUUUGCUUUACUAUAACUUCAUUUGAUAAUUUAAUUUUUGAUAUAGAUUAACAUAAUUGUGGAUAUCUGGAUUAUGGGUUUUGAUUUUCCUUCUCAGUAACAUCAUCCCUUGAUUUUAGGGUUUGUUGCAUCAGUUCAAGAAUAUUUUAUUUUAUUUUUUUUCAUUUUAAUCUUUAAGAAUUGAUAUCAAUUUUCAAUUUCAUUUACAUAUAUCCUUUUAUUGAUAAAAUAUAGGCAAUGGAACCUAAGGUCUGCUUUCCCUUACGAAUAAUUUAUAUACUCUUUUGGUUUACUUAAUAAAUUCCAGUGGAAGUUAUUGUCUGAAAAUAAUCAAAAUCCAGAUAGUUUUGUGAAUAUUGGGGUUUCUUAAUUUGUCAGGUUAUUAGCAUAAAAUAUGUCGUGAUUUUGGUUGUCCAUAUGUAGUUGAUAGACUUUUAAGUUGAAGGAUUGAAAUUUCAAUUGUUUUCCUCUAUCACUCUCUUGUAAGUCUUCUUGAUCCUUUGGAUAACAUGAUCAAUAUUUUGAAAUGUUUCUGCACUGAGAAAUGGUUCAAAGGAGCUUCUGUCAGCCCAUUCAUGGACGAUACUGGGGGUUGAACUAGCUGCCGACUCAUUCGUUUAGCCACUAAGUAGAUUACAGGAUGUUUUAUGCUACUGUGAUUGAAUGAAUGAUGCGGGAGAUAGUUUCAUGUCCCUCUUUCUCUGUGCUUGGACUGAAGGGAGCUCCUCUUGCUGUUGCCUUCAUUUUGUUUUCCUUUGGGCUGAGUCUUGUAUCCAAAAGAUGAUCCCCUUCUGGCAAGAUGCCUUUAUUAUUCACUUAUGGCUCGUUUGGCAAGAUUGAUUGUACAGUAGUGAACAAUAUAUGUAAAAAAAGAAAAUAAAAUCUUGUCCAUUGUAUAUUUAUACCAUCUAAUCUUUUAUACCAUACAUGCUUUUAUUGAAUGUUGAACGGUGAAUUUUGAUGACAUACAGCUGGCUGUUUUUCUUCUGUGUUCGUUCUCACUUUAACGUUUUUAAGAAAAUGUUGCUAAAUCUCGGUAAAUAACCUAAGAUCUCAUCUCUAGUAUCUCUUCGUGACCUUCUGGUUCAAGUAGUUGUUAAUUUCCUAUGGAUAAACCGAACUAAACUUCUAUGGUUAUUAGAGAGAAAAGUCUAACAUGUUUCCUUUUCCAUAUUUCCAUAAAUCAUAGUCUAUUGAUUAGACGUGCUCAAAAUCAUUCUUGUUGCUGUUGAUCAUACGAAAGCUCGACAUCAUGGUCAUACUGUAAGAGGUGAACUCCCCUUGUUUGUUGAAUGUUUGCUUAUGAAGAAAUAGCUUGAAAUUUUGUUGCGGUUUUUUUUCUUCAAUAGUUUUCUAAAUCAAAAUCAGUUGGAAGCUCCUCAUUUGAGUUUAUACUCGACGUUUUACAUUUUUUGAGUUGUUUCUUGGAUUCUUUUAUAAAUUAUUCCUUUGACGCGUAGUUUUGCCACCUUUUCAGUAUUACUUAUAGAAACAGAGUUUUACUUGGGAGUGUUUCUGUUGAUUUUACUUCAAAAUUAUAGCUUAUUCGAGUGCGUAAAACUGUGAACUGCUGCUCGAGCUAAAUGUUUUAAAGAUUCUAUCAGAAAGUUUAAUAUGUGGUUCCAAGUAUAUCAUAUGUAUCCCUACACAGUUUACAGUUUUGGUAAUAAUCUGAUGAUUAUGAUAAUUCAAAUACCUGGUACUGUACAAUUUUCAGCACUUCUUUCACUGUUUUGUCUAUUAAUGUAUCAUAAAACACCAUCUGUUUCUUGCUCUCUCAUUUUUAUUAAAUUGAACAUGCAAGAUUGCCAUUUGGACCUGGAAAUCGCGUACUUUCAAGUGAUAUGUGGAAGCUACAGGGCUGCAGACCAGGGAGGAUCAAGAUCAGCUCGAGAAAUUUAUCGACUGGACUUGACAAAUUUUGAUACCGAGUGUUGAAUUUCAUUAAGUUCGCCUCAUUGGAGUCUUGAUAUGCCAUAAGCAAAGGUAACUCGAUCUCUCUUCUUCCUUUCUCCGACCCCAUGUCGCUACAUGGAAACAUGGCGAGUAAAAAAGGGAUACUGUCAACGCGUUACGACCUCUUAUUUUGAUUUAAUGUUAUAGAAUUAGAAUUUGGUGGUCCCAUUUUUUGUGUACUAUGAUAAAUUGCUGCAAUGGUAGUCAAGUUUAACUCAGUAUUUGUCGGGUGCAUGUGCAGUUUUGCUUAUUUCUGUUCUCACUGAAAUUGACUGUAAAUAAAAUUUAAUUGAUGGCUACAGCUAUUGAUGGUGAAAUUGCUUAGCAGUGUUCGUUUCAGGGAAGUCGUGUUUUCGUUAUUCAGAAUGUAUGGACCAUUUUCUUCUCUAUAAAAUAAAGUGGAAAUCACACCGA